GACGAACGCUGGCGGCGUGCUUAACACAUGCAAGUCGAACGGGGUGUCAGCAAUGACUCCAAGUGGCGAACGGGUGUGUAACGCGUAGACAACCUACCUUCUAGAUGGGGACAACACCGCGAAAGUGGUGCUAAUACCGAAUGUUGUAACGAGAGCCCAUGCGCUUGUUACUAAAGGUGGCCUCUUAGCAAUGCUACCGCUAGAAGACGGGUCUGCGUCUGAUUAGCUAGUAGGCGGGGUAAAAGCCCACCUAGGCGACGAUCAGUAGCCGGUCUGAGAGGAUGAACGGCCACACUGGGACUGAGACACGGCCCAGACUCCUACGGGAGGCAGCAGUGGGGAAUCUUCCGCAAUGGACGAAAGUCUGACGGAGCAACGCCGCGUGAGUGACGAAGGCCUUCGGGUUGUAAAGCUCUGUUGUCAGGGAAGAACACUCUCUAUGUGAAUAAUGUAGAGAGAUGACGGUACCUGACGAGGAAGCCACGGCUAACUACGUGCCAGCAGCCGCGGUAAUACGUAGGUGGCGAGCGUUGUCCGGAAUUAUUGGGCGUAAAGCGCGCGCAGGCGGGAAAGUAAGUCUACUCUAAAAGUGCGGGGCUCAACCCCGUGAUGGGGUGGAAACUGCUUUUCUUGAGUGCCGGAGAGGAAAGUGGAAUUCCCAGUGUAGCGGUGAAAUGCGUAGAUAUUGGGAGGAACACCAGUGGCGAAGGCGACUUUCUGGACGGUGUCUGACGCUGAGGCGCGAAAGCCAGGGGAGCGAACGGGAUUAGAUACCCCGGUAGUCCUGGCCGUAAACGAUGGGUACUAGGUGUAGGGGGUAUCGACCCCUCCUGUGCCGGAGUUAACGCAAUAAGUACCCCGCCUGGGGAGUACGGCCGCAAGGUUGA
rnacentral:rRNA from 1 species